rnacentral:tRNA from 2 species
AGGGGAGUAGCUCAAUUGGUAGAGCGUCGGUCUCCAAAACCGGUGGUUGCGGGUUCGAGUCCUGUCUCCCCUGCCA